rnacentral:lncRNA from 1 species
CAGUUCAUCCAGCUUCAUCUGAGAUAUGUUUUUGGCUUCUUCCAUAGCUGUGACUUUCAUAUCAAAUUUCUUUGGAAGAGAUCUGAGCAAUUUUCUUACUAACUUUUCUUCGGGAAUUUGUUGGAACAAAAUUGAUUUAAAAAUGUUUGCCCCUAAAUCUAUAAAGGUUUUGAUGAUAACAAAGUAUUAAUAAACAAUUGGAAGGACUAAAAAUUUGUUUUAAGUGCGCAGAUAUAAGCAUCACAUAAGUCCUGAGUGGAGUUCAGAGGAUGUGAACUCAGAAGUUCACAAGCGCUCAGAAGAUGUUGGACUUCAGAGGUUACUACGUUCAGAGGAUGAAGACUUC